AGUGAACGCUGGCGGUAGGCCUAACACAUGCAAGUCGAACGGCAGCACAGUAAGAGCUUGCUCUUACGGGUGGCGAGUGGCGGACGGGUGAGGAAUACAUCGGAAUCUACUUUUUCGUGGGGGAUAACGUAGGGAAACUUACGCUAAUACCGCAUACGACCUACGGGUGAAAUCAGGAGAUCUUCGGACCUUUCGCGAUUGAAUGAGCCGAUGUCGGAUUAGCUAGUUGGCUGGGUAAAGGCCCACCAAGGCGACGAUCCGUAGCUGGUCUGAGAGGAUGAUCAGCCACACUGGAACUGAGACACGGUCCAGACUCCUACGGGAGGCAGCAGUGGGGAAUAUUGGACAAUGGGCGAAAGCCUGAUCCAGCCAUACCGCGUGGGUGAAGAAGGUCUUCGGGUUGUAAAGCCCUUUUGUUGGGAAAGAAAAGCAGCAGGUUAAAACCCCGCUGUUCUGACGGUACCCAAAGAAUAAGCACCGGCUAACUUCGUG
rnacentral:rRNA from 1 species